rnacentral:rRNA from 1 species
UGGGGAAUUUUGGACAAUGGGCGAAAGCCUGAUCCAGCAAUGCCGCGUGUGUGAAGAAGGCCUUCGGGUUGUAAAGCACUUUUGUCCGGAAAGAAAUCCUCUGGGUUAAUACCUCGGGGGGAUGACGGUACCGGAAGAAUAAGCACCGGCUAACUCCGUGCCAGCAGCCGCGGUAAUACGGAGGGUGCAAGCGUUAUCCGGAAUCACUGGGCGUAAAGGGCGCGUAGGCGGUCUGUUAAGUCCGAUGUUAAAUCCCGGGGCUCAACCCCGGAUAAGCGUUGGAUACUGGCAGGCUAGACGGUUGGAGAGGCGAGUGGAAUUACCAGUGUAGCGGUGGAAUGCGUAGAUACUGGUAGGAACACCUAUUGCGAAGGCAGCUCGCUGGACAACACGUGACGCUGAGGCGCGAAAGUGUGGGGAGCAAACC